ensembl:lncRNA
GAUGUAGGCCAAGUAAAGACAAAGAUGGUAAUUAUCCUAGGAUGUAGGCCAAGUAAAGACAAAGAUGGUAAUUAUCCUAGGAUGUAGGCCAAGUAAAGACAAAGAUGGUAAUUAUCCUAGGAUGUAGGCCAAGUAAAGUCAAAGAUGGUAAUUAUCCAAGGAUGUAGGCCAAGUAAAGACAAAGAUGGUAAUUAUCCUAGGAUGUAGGCCAAGUAAAGACAAAGAUGGUAAUUAUCCUAGGAUCCAGGCCAAGUAAAGACAAAGAUGGUAAUUAUCCUAGGAUCCAGGCCAAAUAAAGACCAAUAUGGUAAUUAUCCUAGGAUGUAGGCCAAAUAAAGACAUAUGGCAGUGGUUUAUAACUCUUCCAGCAUACACAGUAGAUGUUCAUUCAGCCCUCUUUCUGCAAGCUUGUUGUUAUACAAUUUUGAGACUGAAAUAUUGAUAUUUGAUUCGAGCAAAUACAGUUUGUAGAUACUGUCGGUAAGCAUCAACUUGAAUUAGAUAUAUGUUUUAAUGAAGGUCGAUGUUGAACCAUUGGUGUUAUUUAUCCAUACUCAUUUUAAUUGAUGUCUAAACCAGCUGUAGACGAAGGUGUCUAAUCAUUUGAGUCAGAUGGUGCCUACCCUCGAGUCGGUGAGUUUAAAAUAAAAUAAAAAGUAUUUGUGGUGAAUCAACAAAAAAAAAGUAAGUCUUAGUCCCUCAACACAUCUUUAUUUUACUGUCCUAAUUUAUAAUUCUAGAAAUGUGCAUACAGUCGCUGGGCGACAUUGGCAGUUUAUUUCAAUAUACAGUAUAGAGUUAUAGCCUACCCUAUGCUGCGCAUGCAGAGCGUGCGUCAGACAAUGGUCAUUUAACAUCCAAAGUGAUGGUCUGUUUGGCAGAUUAUAUAAAUGUUGGAAUGUCCUUAAGCAUUGUUCUAAUUUACCUAUACUAGCCUACUUACUUAUACGUACAGUACACCGAGUGUACAAAACGUAAACCGCUGCUUGGGUUUUUCACACUCGGCAGUUUCCCAAGUGUAUCAAGAAUGGUCCAUCACCCAAAGGACAUCCAGCCAAUUUGACACAACUGUGGGAAGCAUUGGAGUCAACAUGGGGGGGUGUAACUCAAUAUUAGGAAGGUGUCCAUAAUGUUUUGUACACUCAGUGUUGUAGUCGAAAAAGACACAUUAUGAUAUUAUUGUUAUUAUUGGAAGUGUUACUAUUACUGAUCUCUUGGUGUUUUCUGUAUUAAUGAAUAUUCAAUAAAUUUUAUGUGUCCAAAAACA